UGUAUAAUGGGUCAGCGACUUAUAUUCUGUAGCAAGGUUAACCGAAUAGGGGAGCCGAAGGGAAACCGAGUCUUAACUGGGCGUUAAGUUGCAGGGUAUAGACCCGAAACCCGGUGAUCUAGCCAUGGGCAGGUUGAAGGUUGGGUAACACUAACUGGAGGACCGAACCGACUAAUGUUGAAAAAUUAGCGGAUGACUUGUGGCUGGGGGUGAAAGGCCAAUCAAACCGGGAGAUAGCUGGUUCUCCCCGAAAGCUAUUUAGGUAGCGCCUCGUGAAUUCAUCUCCGGGGGUAGAGCACUGUUUCGGCAAGGGGGUCAUCCCGACUUACCAACCCGAUGCAAACUGCGAAUACCGGAGAAUGUUAUCACGGGAGACACACGGCGGGUGCUAACGUCCGUCGUGAAGAGGGAAACAACCCAGACCGCCAGCUAAGGUCCCAAAGUCAUGGUUAAGUGGGAAACGAUGUGGGAAGGCCCAGACAGCCAGGAUGUUGGCUUAGAAGCAGCCAUCAUUUAAAGAAAGCGUAAUAGCUCACUGGUCGAGUCGGCCUGCGCGGAAGAUGUAACGGGGCUAAACCAUGCACCGAAGCUGCGGCAGCGACACUAUGUGUUGUUGGGUAGGGGAGCGUUCUGUAAGCC
rnacentral:rRNA from 1 species